GGCCGGGAGCUGGGGACGCGGGCCGGGAGUUGCGGACUCCGAGGCUCGGUCCUCGCUGGCGGGUGGGAGGAGCGGAGUCGGGGCGAGGCUGGCGGAGAUCCAGGGGAUCGCCCGGCUGGGCCCUGCACACCCCGGAUCACCAGCUUCGGGCGCUGGUUCCCACCGAGGCUGUUCAGGCGCCGCUCCCCCGCGUCCCUGCGACAGGAAGCGCCUGCUGGGCGCGCUCCGGGCCCCGCCUCGCGGAGACGCCUGGCUCGGGCCUUGUCCCCAGUGAGCCGCUGGAGCGGCCGCGGGGUCGCAGAGCCUCCGGGACCCCGAGGAAGGGCGCCCCUCGGAGUUGCCCGAGGCCGGGCCCGGCGUCCGCUCGCCACUCGCCUCGCCCCUCCCCGGCCCCGCACCGCCCUCCACCCCGCCUCCUUCGGGUUCCUUCUGCGUCCGGCAGAGCCUGCGCGCCUCCCCCGGACGGCCACGGACUCGCAGCCUCGGCGAGGACGCUGCCUGCCUCCCGACUGCCUGGACCUCCCCGCGUGGCUCCCGGCGAAGCCCAGCAGCCGGAGGGUGCCAGGUCCGCCUGACGCGCCCCUCCCCACGGGAAGAACGGGGCGGGGGUCCAGGAGGGACGUAAGCCGGGCUCCCCCGGCGUGUUGAUCCGAACCCGCGCGGGAAAACUUGCGCAAACCAAAGGAGGGAAGAGUCAGGCAGCCCCCAGCCCCCCAGGGAGGCCCAGGUGAAAAACAGACGCCGGCCUCGCCUCUCCCGGUGCGGAUGAUCCCGGCACUCCCACCCCCGCCCCUGCUGCCCCGAGUUCGGCUCCCUCAGCCCCACAUCCUCUCUGGUCACCUAAGUGGACUGCAGCUGCUCAAGGAGCAUGUCGCGAAGGAUAGAGAAGGACAGGGGGUCUGCGUCCCCAGCCGCCCUCCAGACCCCCAGGGCUGGUAGGGGCCGGCAACCCUAUGCCCCAACCUGGCCUGCUGCAGGUGAGGGGGGCACACCAGGGUAACACAGGAGCAGGAGGGGGAGAAAGCCUGGCUAGAGCAUCCACCUCAUAGGCACCUUCCUUGUGUCCAGGGUGCAGAUGCCAGGGCUCUGAGGCCCUGAGGUCCUGUCUGGGGCGAGGGGGCUUCCUCCAUCCACAGCAUCCACUGCCCGGCUGAGUCUAGAGGCCACUGAGCAAGCAGACCCUCCACAGCCAGGCACGCUCAGGCCCUCACAUGGUCACGGUGCUUAUGCUCUGGGCCAGCCUGGAUUGCUCAUUCCUAUCUGAGAUUGGGAUUCACGGGGUCUUCCAGUUCCCCCCUUUUCUUUCUCUACUGAUUGAGAAACACAGAGUCCUUUGAUUGCUCUGGGACCUGGCCAUUGCGUGUUCCCUGCAGCCUUGAACCCAGUUCAAUGGGGCCGGGCACAUUCCCUGAUAAAGCUGUUUAGGUUGCUCGAAAACACGAUCAACCCUAUUGCUAAACACGUAGAAACUGGCCCUGCCCUGAGCCCAAUCCCUUAAACUCUCAUCUAAGCUCCAUAGCCAGACUCCCUUGCUGCAAAUGUACCUGGGUGGAGCAUCACUUGCCUCACCAUCGAUCCCAAGAAAGCUGAAGCUCCAUGUGAAAAUUUCCGGAAGAAAUGCUCUGGACUGAUCACCCUGGUGUUUAGGGCUUCUUUCCUUGGAAUCCCAACCAAUUCCAUCGCGGGACUGUUUGGGGAAGUCUUUUGAGGCAACUCCCUUGCUGCCACUUUUGGGGCAACUCUAGCCUCCUCAUAUUUGGCCAGAUAGAACAGUUCCAAGCUGUAAAUGUUUCCAGGGAAAAAUCUCAACUACAGAGACACUUUCAAGGUGCUGCAUUUCCAACAGCACUCUCCGUAUCCGAGUGGACAGCCCAGAGCAAUGGUGCUUCCAAUCCACAGAGCCCCUCCACAGGUCCCUUGCCAUCUGCAGACACCCACAUCUCAAGGUGAGUUCAAAUGUACCCUGGAUUUGUUUUUUGUUUGUUUGUUUGUUUUUUAAGGCAGAGUUUCACUUUUGUUGCCCAGGCUGGAGUGCAAUGACGCAGUCUCAGCUCACUGCAACCUCUGCUCCCGUGUUCAAGCGAUUCUCCUGCCUCGGCCUCCCGAGUAGCUGAGAUUACAGGCACCUGCCACCACGCCUGGCUAAUUUUUUGUAUUUUUAGUAGAAACGGGGUUUCACCAUGUUAGCCAGGCUGGUCUCGAACUCCUGACCUCAGGAGAUCUGCCCGCCUCGGUCUCCCAAAGUGCUGGGAUUACAGGCGUGAGCAACCGCGCCCGGACCCGUGGAUUUAACAGGUGUGGUAAGGCAUGCACACGUGAGAAUGACUGUUGUGAAGGAAGAAGUUAUAGUCGUGGGUCCCUGGAAACUGGGCAGGGCACACAGGGCGACAUGAGAAGGACCAGGGAUGGCCAGGAGGCAGAAAGGGGGAGAGGACUGAGUUUGGCCGGAGCCUUUAUUUUCUCUGGAAGGAGAGGGCAGGCAGGGUAGGUAUGCAGAGUGAGCUCACGAUUGGACUAUUUGAACAAUUGUGGCAGGCUCGGGGCUGUAGGGGUGGCCCCUUCUUGUCAGGUACCUGGCCCUCGGGUGACUUAGGGCAGGGGAAAUAUUGGCUUGGUGAGUGACCGUGUGAUAAGGGAGGGAGAUAGUUGUGGACUCUGGAUUGGUUGGUUUGUGUCUCAAAGGUGCACUGGGGCUGGGCACAGUGGCUCACGCUUGUAAUCCCAUCACUUUGGAGGCCGAGGAGGGCAGAUCACCUGAGGUGAGACCAGCCUGGCCAACAUGGUGAAACCUCGUCUCUAUUAAAAUACAAAAAAAUUAGCAGGGUGUGGUGGUGCACGCAUGUAGUCCCAGGUAUUCGGGAGGCUGAGGUGGGAGAAUCGCCUGCACCCGGGAGGCAGAGGCUACAGUGAGCCCAGAUCACGCCACUGCACUCCAGCCUGGGUGACAGAGCGAGACUCCGUCUCAAAAAAAAAAAAAAGGUGCACUGGAAGGGGAGUGUUUGCUGUCUCUGGGAAUUAGCUAGCCCUGGAGGGAGCAGCCUCUCCAGGAUCAAGGCCCCAAAUGCUUGGGUGACCCUGGAGAGCAGGGACGGAGCCCUGCAAACAAAAGGUUCUUCAUUCUAUGCACACACUCCCUGGUGCAUGGUUUCAAAAUGUCUUAGUGAAAUUGGGUCCAAGCCUCUAUGCAGUGGAGAGAACACCUAGGGAGGAACAGUGCCUGAUGGGUGAGCUGGGGAGGAGUGGGCACUGCCAGGAGGGCACUGGGCUGCUGUGGGAUGGGGUGAGGUGAGCAUCAGGUCGUGGUGCUGUAGGUGUUCCUGGAAGGCACCCUGGACAGUCAAUCCUCACCCAUGCCACACCCAUCAGAGUACAGAGAUCGCGCCUCCCUGUAGUGAUGAUCUGUUUGGGACGGCAUGACGACAACCACAAGCAGAAUCUGCUUUUCUCUAACAGCCAAAUCAAGAGAGACUGGAGGCUUAUGCCAGUUGGGCAUCUCUGGGGGUGAGAUCUUGGCAGCCGCUUCCUACCCUUCAAGUGUCCUGUGGGCAGCCCGCCUAGCUAGCUGGGUAUGAGGGUCCCCCGGUUCAGGCCCUGCCUGCUGCGCCUCCCCAGGCUCACUCCAGGCCUCUGGACUGUUUUCCUCAAGCAGGAUUCCCAGCCUGCAAACCUGAGCUAAUCUCCCUGCUGGAACGAGGGGAGGCGCCCUGGAUCCUCACCCAGCCAGAAACGGGGGAGAGUGCUCCCAAGGGACCCUAGCAGAGAGUCCGGCUCUGUCGUCCAGGCUGGAGUGCGAUGGUGCCAUCUCGGCUCACUGCAACCUCCAACGCCCAGGUUCAAGCAAUUCUCCUGCCUCAGCCUCCCGAGUAGCUGGAACUGCAGGUGUGUGCCACCAGGCCCGGCUAAUUUUUUGUAUUUUUAGUAGAGAUGGGGUUUCACUGUAUUAGCCAGGAUGGUCUCAAUCUCCUGACCUCGUGACCCACCAUCUCGGCCUCCCAAAGGGUUAGUAUUACAGGUAUGAGCCACCGCGCCCGGCCUCAUUGGUUAAAUUUAUUCCUAGGUUUGUUUUUUGGUUUUGGUAGCUAUUGUAAAUGGAAUUGCUUUCCUGGUUUUUUUUGGUAGUUUGUGGUUGGUAUGUAGAAAUGUUACUGGUUUUUGUAUGUUAAUUUUGUAUCCUGCAACUUUACUGAAUUUGUUUGUUCUAAGAAUGUUUUGAUAAAG